AGUGAACGCUGGCGGUAGGCCUAACACAUGCAAGUCGAACGGCGGCACAGUAAGAGCUUGCUCUUACGGGUGGCGAGUGGCGGACGGGUGAGGAAUACAUCGGAAUCUACUUUUUCGUGGGGGAUAACGUAGGGAAACUUACGCUAAUACCGCAUACGACCUACGGGUGAAAGCAGGGGAUCUUCGGACCUUGCGCGAUUGAAUGAGCCGAUGUCGGAUUAGCUAGUUGGCGGGGUAAAGGCCCACCAAGGCGACGAUCCGUAGCUGGUCUGAGAGGAUGAUCAGCCACACUGGAACUGAGACACGGUCCAGACUCCUACGGGAGGCAGCAGUGGGGAAUAUUGGACAAUGGGCGCAAGCCUGAUCCAGCCAUACCGCGUGGGUGAAGAAGGCCUUCGGGUUGUAAAGCCCUUUUAUUGGGAAAGAAAAGCAGCAGGUUAAUACCCCGCUGUUCUGACGGUACCCAAAGAAUAAGCACCGGCUAACUUCGUG
rnacentral:rRNA from 1 species